rnacentral:rRNA from 1 species
UACGGAGGGUGCAAGCGUUAUCCGGAUUCACUGGGUUUAAAGGGUGCGUAGGUGGGUUUGUAAGUCAGUGGUGAAAUCUCCAAGCUUAACUUGGAACUGCCGUUGAUACUAUAAAUCUUGAAUGUUGUGGAGGUGAGCGGAAUAUGUCAUGUAGCGGUGAAAUGCUUAGAUAUGACAUAGAACACCAAUUGCGAAGGCAGCUCACUACAUCAAAGAUUGACACUGAGGCACAGAAAAGCGU